CCUACGGGAGGCAGCAGUAGGGAAUUUUCGUCAAUGGGCGCAAGCCUGAACGAGCAAUGCCGCAUGAACGAGGAAGGUCUUCGGAUCGUAAAGUUCUGUUGAAGGGGAAAAAGAGCGGAGAGAGGAAAUGGUCUCCGAUUGAUAUUACACUUCGAGGAAGUCACGGCUAACUACGUGCCAGCAGCCGCGGUAAUACGUAGGUGGCGAGCGUUAUCCGGAAUGAUUGGGCGUAAAGGGUGCGUAGGCGGCCUGCUAAUUCUGGAGUGAAAGGUACCGGCUCAACCGGUACAGGCUCUGGAAACUGGCGGGCUAGAGAGCAGGAGAGGGCGGUGGAACUCCAUGUGUAGCGGUAAAAUGCGUAGAUAUAUGGAAGAACACCAGUGGCGAAGGCGGCCGCCUGGCCUGUUGACUGACGCUGAGGCACGAAAGCGUGGGGAGCAAAUAGGAUUAGAUACCCCUGUAGUC
rnacentral:rRNA from 1 species